rnacentral:tRNA from 1 species
UGGGGCGUAGCCAAGCGGUAAGGCAGUGGAUUUUGAUUCCACCAUGCGGAGGUUCGAAUCCUCCCGCCCCAGCCA